GAUGAACGCUGGCGGCGUGCCUAAUACAUGCAAGUCGAACGAAACUUCUUUAUCACCGAGUGCUUGCACUCACCGAUAAAGAGUUGAGUGGCGAACGGGUGAGUAACACGUGGGCAACCUGCCCAAAAGAGGGGGAUAACACUUGGAAACAGGUGCUAAUACCGCAUAACCAUAGUUACCGCAUGGUAACUAUGUAAAAGGUGGCUAUACUACCGCUUUUGGAUGGGCCCGCGGCGCAUUAGCUAGUUGGUAGGGUAAAGGCUUACCAAGGCAAUGAUGCGUAGCCGAAUUGAGAGGUUGAUCGGCCACAUUGGGACUGAGACACAGCCCAAACUCCUACGGGAGGCAGCAGUAGGGAAUCUUCCACAAUGGGCGAAAGCCUGAUGGAGCAACGCCGCGUGGGUGAAGAAGGUCUUCGGAUCGUAAAACCCUGUUGUUAGAGAAGAAAGUGCGUGAGAGUAACUGUUCACGUUUCGACGGUAUCUAACCAGAAAGCCACGGCUAACUACGUG
rnacentral:rRNA from 1 species